rnacentral:rRNA from 1 species
UACGAAGGGGGCUAGCGUUGCUCGGAAUCACUGGGCGUAAAGGGUGCGUAGGCGGGUCUUAAGUCAGGGGUGAAAUCCUGGAGCUCAACUCCAGAACUGCCUUUGAUACUGAAGAUCUUGAGUUCGGGAGAGGUGAGUGGAACUGCGAGUGUAGAGGUGAAAUUCGUAGAUAUUCGCAAAGAACACCAGUGGCGAAGGCGGCUCACUGGCCCGAUACUGACGCUGAGGCACGAAAGCGUGGGGAGCAAACAGG